rnacentral:rRNA from 1 species
AACGAACGCUGGCGGCAGGCUUAACACAUGCAAGUCGAGCGCCCCGCAAGGGGAGCGGCAGACGGGUGAGUAACGCGUGGGAAUCUACCGUGCCCUAAGGAAUAGCUCCGGGAAACUGGAAUUAAUACCUUAUACGCCCUUCGGGGGAAAGAUUUAUCAGGGUAUGAUGAGCCCGCGUUGGAUUAGCUAGUUGGUGGGGUAAAGGCCUACCAAGGCGACGAUCCAUAGCGGGUCUGAGAGGAUGAACAGCCACAUUGGGACUGAGACACGGCCCACACUCCUACGGGAGGCAGCAGUGGGGAAUAUUGGACAAUGGGCGCAAGCCUGAUCCAGCCAUGCCGCGUGAGUGAUGAAGGCCCUAGGGUUGUAAAGCUCUUUCACCGGUGAAGAUAAUGACGGUAACCGGAGAAGAAGCCCCGGCUAACUUCGUGCCAGCAGCCGCGGUAAAAC